AUAAAAGGGUCUUACUACAGAUAUGUAGUAUCCCAUAUUUCAUUAAAUCAAGGCCCUACAUGGGAAACUUCCAUUAAAGAAGAGAUUAAAUAAGUGUCUUUUAGCUCUGGAUUUCUUUGAAUAAGAGUCUAUGAUUUGCAGAUUAAGAGAUCAUGGUAUUCAACUGUGAAGUUAAGACUUGUCUUAAAAAUGGGAAAGGAGAGAGGCAGAAAAUUAAGCUGAUCACAGUUUUGGUAAAUAUUUCUUGCCUUGGUAACUCUAGAUCUGUUAUCGGUAUAUAAAUUUAAAAUAUUCUUUAGGUAAAACCUUGAAUGUUUGAGCCACUUAAGUGUAGAGUACCCAAGGAGGGCCAAUCAUUUGGAUACUAACAUAUGGUCUCUUAGCCAAAUGAUGAGCCAGCAACUGGAAGUUUUUAUUUGUAGUAAGUCUUUUUGUGGACAAAGAUGGCAUUUCCCAAUUGAACUGAAUUGAGGAAGAAGCAUUCUAAGAAGUGUGAUAACAAGUAAUGCAGAAAAACCCUUGUGGGAAUUCCAGAAAUUUCUGAAGACAAAAUUUGCUGAGGUUACCAAUGUCUAUUUAUUGUUUAUUAGACUCAUUUAUGGGUCACUUCUAAGAGAAAGAACUUCUGUUUUGCUACUGCUAGUUGUAACUAUUUGCAUAAUAAAUCGCUAAGUAAAUGGCUCUUUGUAAACAAAAUUCACUGCUCUAUACGGGCUAUUCAGAGCUUAUAUUAAUUGUGUUUUAGCACAAACAAGAAGAGAAGCAGAAAUUCACAUCCUCCUCACUACAAGAACACAAAAAAUCCUCAAGAGUAUUAGAGACACUUGUUCCAAGGCAACCUCUGCCAACAAGAAGUCUGAGUGUGGGUGAACUCAGUACCCUAGAGUGUGAAUGUCAGUGCAUCACUGUGAUUACAAGAGCUGUGCUGCGAAAGCUCCUGACACAGCCCUGUUACUGUGCUUCCUUCCUAAGCAGGGCCUCUCUGUUUAUGUAAGUCAUCCUAUUUUCUCAGAGUGUCUACAUAACACCUUAAAAUAAAAGUCUGAGUUGAUUUUGUAAAAUAUUUUAAGUGUCUGGAUGGAGUGUGACAAGCUGUACAAAACUUUAGUAUUUUCUUGAAAAAA